AAAAAAAGAAAAAAAAGGAUCUUGUCUCCCUUUCCUUCCUCUCUUUUUUUUACCAACUCUUUCUCCUUCCUCUCCCUCCUCUUCCUCAUUCAAAGAACAAAAAUAAAG
rnacentral:ribozyme from 1 species